rnacentral:rRNA from 1 species
GAGUUUGAUCCUGGCUCAGAUUGAACGCUGGUGGCAGGCCUAACACAUGCAAGUCGAGCGGAAACGAGUUAUCUGAACCUUCGGGGAACGAUAACGGCGUCGAGCGGCGGACGGGUGAGUAAUGCCUAGGAAAUUGCCCUGAUGUGGGGGAUAACCAUUGGAAACGAUGGCUAAUACCGCAUGAUGCCUACGGGCCAAAGAGGGGGACCUUCGGGCCUCUCGCGUCAGGAUAUGCCUAGGUGGGAUUAGCUAGUUGGUGAGGUAAGGGCUCACCAAGGCAACGAUCCCUAGCUGGUCUGAGAGGAUGAUCAGCCACACUGGAACUGAGACACGGUCCAGACUCCUACGGGAGGCAGCAGUGGGGAAUAUUGCACAAUGGGCGCAAGCCUGAUGCAGCCAUGCCGCGUGUGUGAAGAAGGCCUUCGGGUUGUAAAGCACUUUCAGUCGUGAGGAAGGUAGUGUAGUUAAUAGCUGCAUUAUUUGACGUUAGCGACAGAAGAAGCACCGGCUAACUCCGUGCCAGCAGCCGCGGUAAUACGGAGGGUGCGAGCGUUAAUCGGAAUUACUGGGCGUAAAGCGCAUGCAGGUGGUUUGUUAAGUCAGAUGUGAAAGCCCGGGGCUCAACCUCGGAAUAGCAUUUGAAACUGGCAGACUAGAGUACUGUAGAGGGGGGUAGAAUUUCAGGUGUAGCGGUGAAAUGCGUAGAGAUCUGAAGGAAUACCGGUGGCGAAGGCGGCCCCCUGGACAGAUACUGACACUCAGAUGCGAAAGCGUGGGGAGCAAACAGGAUUAGAUACCCUGGUAGUCCACGCCGUAAACGAUGUCUACUUGGAGGUUGUGGCCUUGAGCCGUGGCUUUCGGAGCUAACGCGUUAAGUAGACCGCCUGGGGAGUACGGUCGCAAGAUUAAAACUCAAAUGAAUUGACGGGGGCCCGCACAAGCGGUGGAGCAUGUGGUUUAAUUCGAUGCAACGCGAAGAACCUUACCUACUCUUGACAUCCAGAGAACUUUCCAGAGAUGGAUUGGUGCCUUCGGGAACUCUGAGACAGGUGCUGCAUGGCUGUCGUCAGCUCGUGUUGUGAAAUGUUGGGUUAAGUCCCGCAACGAGCGCAACCCUUAUCCUUGUUUGCCAGCGAGUAAUGUCGGGAACUCCAGGGAGACUGCCGGUGAUAAACCGGAGGAAGGUGGGGACGACGUCAAGUCAUCAUGGCCCUUACGAGUAGGGCUACACACGUGCUACAAUGGCGCAUACAGAGGGCGGCCAACUUGCGAAAGUGAGCGAAUCCCAAAAAGUGCGUCGUAGUCCGGAUUGGAGUCUGCAACUCGACUCCAUGAAGUCGGAAUCGCUAGUAAUCGUGGAUCAGAAUGCCACGGUGAAUACGUUCCCGGGCCUUGUACACACCGCCCGUCACACCAUGGGAGUGGGCUGCAAAAGAAGUAGGUAGUUUAACCUUCGGGGGGACGCUUACCACUUUGUGGUUCAUGACUGGGGUGAAGUCGUAACAAGGUAACC